GAAAUACUGCUGUCACUACCAGCAAGUCACGCAUUUAUUCGCGUAAAAUCCCGCGCUAUGCAGCUAGUGGGAUUCGAACCUGCGACGCGCCCUCGCGCGUAACCUCCUCUACCACUCCACCUAUCACUCAGAUGUGUCUAUGUUAGAGUUUAUUUUCCGACAUAUUAUCCUAAACUGAGCAUACAUUGAUUAUUUGAGGCCAG
rnacentral:lncRNA from 1 species